CUAAACCUAAUUUCAAGCACCACAACCCCAAACCUUCUUCACUAUUCUCUGUUUUAAGAUUUUGAGAUAAACCCUAAACCUUCUUCACUAUUUCUUCUUUUUGAUUCACUCGAAAUUUCAGUGGUCAACCAAAGAUAAAUCUAAUUGAAAACGCACGUUGUUGCCACUAUUGCGCUGGUGGGUGUGGUGGGGUUCGCCGGAGAUUAAGAUCGAGGCUAGUGCACUGCGUGUUAGGAAGGUUGUUGUUGUUACAAGGUGAUGAUAAACUCUUUACCCUGAUAUCUUCGUGGCAAAGUGAAAGCAAGCACCAGACCACCUCACACUGNACUCGGUCUUUG